rnacentral:lncRNA from 1 species
AAGGCACCGAUCCCGCUUCGUCAUCGCCCACAGAGGCCCGCCUUGGCCACGGGCUCGAAAGUCCAGUGCCC